UGUAUAUGUAUAUAUAUAUAUAUAUAUAUAUAUACACAUGCACUCGCAUAUAAUAUGCAAUAGAUGUAAGAAAUUUACUCAUUUAUUACACCGACGUGGAACUUUUAUUUCUUAAUUCUAGUGAUUGUUUUAUAAAAGUACAAAAUAAUGAUAUGCACCCACGUAAUGUAUAGGAAGUAAAUGCUACAAACGUCUGCUUUACGAGUACUCUUAACACACAUCUACCCCCCGUCUCACGGAAGUAUGAAGAAGGAAACUUUAACUCUAUUGGCUGCGAACGAGCAAGAAGGAAGACGAAAAAGGAGAACAUAAUUAUUUCCGGGUUCUUUUUCCUCUUUUAGCUUUGAUCUAUUGGCUGCAAACGAGCAUUAUCUCUAAGAAAGGAAGACAAAGGGGGGGGGGGGGGGAGAAUUAUUUCCAUUUUUUUCUCUCGCUUUGAUAUGUCUAUUUAUCUUUCUUGAAUUUGAUGCAACUUAGAAAUUUUAAGGCGGCAUGGGGUAUCUACAUUUUGCAGAAUUCUUGCCUUAGAAACUGAUAUAUAAGUAAUUCUAAACCUUUUGCACAGAAAGAAGUAAGUGUCGCCGUAAUUUAUAGCCCGGGAGAUUGUAUGAUAAUAGGGUUAUUACCGGCAACAGACAGAUUGUGUAACACCAACAUAUACCGGUAUCGAAUGACCAAAUUUCACAAAGAUGCAGCUUUGCUACUAAUAAAGAACUCGAUACGUUGUUUAUGAAUAAAUUGUAUUUAAAUGAAUUUGGAUUUAUAUUUACAUAACUCGGGUUCUAAGAUGCUGAAAUGAUCCGUUUUCAACUAUACAGAAAAUCUUAAAUUACCGACACAUUAUGUAACUAGAAUGCAACCUGAUAAAACUUUCUUUUGACUUUGAAUAAAUUAAUUGUAAGGAGAUAGAUUGAGAGUCAAAUGUUAAAAAUGGCACUACAGGUAAUUAUUUUUCAUAAAUGCUGAAUCACUUUGAAAUGUGUUACUUUGAAUACUAGAACGUAUGUUUUAUUGAAAAUCACAUGUGCAUAGGGCGUAUAAUCUGAAAAAUCACUAUAGAAAAUCAGUUAUCUAUAUGAAAGACCUCCCCUAUAGGUUUCGUCAUGUCUAAAACGAACAUCCUGUAGUUCAAAAUCACACGAGAUACCCUCACCCGAUAAAGAUCCUUCAGGUUGAUUAUUACAUAACCCGGAAGGAAUGACCCCAUAAAUGGCAAACCUCAUAGAAAACACAUUGUAAUAGAUCAUUGAAAGGGCAGCGUUUGAUUGCAGUGGUGGGCACCGACAAGGAAAAGUCCCGCAAACAGAAUGGCUGGUGGUUGUAAUCUGACACAACGCCAUCAAUUAUUAAGGAAAUCGCUGGGUUUGAACGUUAAAUAUCUCUCGUCUGUUCGUGUUUACCCACACCAUGGAGUUUUUUUUCACGGCAAGAGAUUUCAUGUUAUUCGCUAAUUGGUUAAUCCCACAUAUAAAAUGAAUUCAGGUUCUAGCCUAUUAUUUUGGGCACAUUUAUGUUUAAUGAAACCAUUUUUUGCUGAAUGGUAACAUUCAUUGAGGAAACUUGUGCAUCGCUGGCACUGUGAACGAGUCAUUGAGUUCUUGUAGAGAUGGAACAAUUAGACACACCUUCUGUUUGGCAUUAGACCCAUAGAACACCCAAGAUUCUUCACAGUAUUGACUACACCGCGAUGUCAGACGAUCACAUUUCAACAUAUCCUCAGUUUGUGGAACAGGCUAACACUAUUCACAACUCUUACUCAGAACUACACAUCUUAUAUAAAUAGCAGACUACUGAUGUAUGUUUCAUAAUAUACGAGUUCAAGCUACAGUUUCUGUAUUCCAACAUCCAUUCCGAUGAAACUUAAGCCACUCUCCGCCUUUUAUCGCAAGUCCCAUCGAUAUAUUUUUCGUACUUAAAUGACAAGGUAAUUACUUAUAAGGUAUUCAACACAAAUUUCUUAUCAGUCCGUAAAACGCCAUCCUAAGUGGUUGUAUUAAAUAGUAUCUACUCUCAGGAUUCCCUGCGCCAGUGUGUCGUCUGUCAAGAAAGUACCACUACUCGAAAUCUACUACCAAAGCGCCUUUGUAACACCUGGACGAAGGCUUGGACAUUACUGUCCGCUGUGGAGAUAUUAACUGCUAUACAAUAGAUACUUAUCAAGCAGUCUAUGUCAAAUUCAUCGUCUGGAGCGGAUUUCAGAGAAAGACAAACGACACAGAGCCCGUCGAUUUGAGGAAACUAACGGCUACGUAAACGCUGGGUAUAUGUUGUGAUAAAUGACUUGAUUAUAGGCCUAAAGACCCGUCAUUCCGGCCCAAGAGCCAUAAAAUCGCCAUUACCCACAGACGAAUCCCGAGCUCGACUAUCGUCUGGUGAUGCCUGUGAUUAAAAUACGAUUAAAGUGAAUUUACGGCCCCAGAGAUCUGUAAAGUUGAUUUGAGCGAGAAUAAGUGUUUGAACUAUUGUUAAUUUUUUGUUUGUUCAGAGCAUUUUAGAUGUCUAUAUGAAUCCUGUUUCGUUUCAUAUUGACACAAUCGUUAAUAUCUCCAUUAGAGUUGUUUUCUGAAUGAACGAUAUGCUUCUUUGAAUUCUUAUUUCUGAAAAUUAAUACUUUUAACGAAGUGAAGUUCAAGUUUUGAAAUAAAAGAGUUUUUUGUG